GGCUGGUUGAGAAGGGAACUGCAGUUAGUUGGUUACUUUAUGAAGAAGAAAGAGUCAGUGCUCUGAGGAGAUGCCCACGAGAAACACCAAGAAGGUAAACAAGAAACAAAAACGAAAAGCUUCUGUUGAAAUAUGCCAAUAUCAGUCUGAAGAUGGAAUAACAACCACUCUCAAGCAGAGAUGGUCUGAAUGCGAGGGAGGUUCUGGACAUGUGAGGAGUUUUUGAAAAUCCACCCCUUUUUUGUUGACUUGUAUCUUCCAUAACCACUGGUGCGCAUUAUGACUGUUGGAUUCUCCUACUGUAUUUUAAACCAUGAUUUGACCUUGUGGAGGAUUGCACAGCUUCACUAUUUUGAGGAUUGAGCAAGGUGAAGAAAGCUGAUUGAAUUUUAUUUCUCUUAUCCCUGGGAGUUUUCUUUCUGGAACCUCCACUUUUAGCAUUUGUUUUAAAAGGACCCUUCCUUUUUUUUCCAAGCCCCAUUGUAUCAACAGAAAAAUUUUGGUUGAGCUGGUUGACUACAGAAUUGUGUCUCUAUAUCGUACUUCAAAUUUCAGCUGAGUUACAGGAAGAAGCAACUUUCUAUCAAAGUAAGCAAACUUUGUCAACUGCUGUCACCAAAGUCUGUUUAAGCAAAAGAAAAUUCAAACCCUGAUUGUAAAAUACCCCUUUAUAUGAGUUUCUUACAAAUACCUCAGCUAGCAGUUAUAACAAAGACUCUGCCAUUUUACUGUUGAAAGAUCACAUUUUUAGAUGAGAAGCCUUAAGUUUCAAACUCAUCUCAGCUAACAUAAAUGUUUUGAAGUGAAAGGUAUUGGUAUAAAACAUCAAGGAAACUGUCUUGAACUCCAAAUUUAAUUUCUAUAAAUUUUCAAUGUUUCCUUGGGUUUAAAUAGCAGGCAGCAUAUAGUGGAUAUGCUUCAAUUUAAAUUGCAAUUUGCAAAGGUGUUAUAAAACAUUCUUUGAAUGUGGUCACAUAUUGUAUGUCUGAUAUGCAAAUUUCAGACAUUGGGAGCUCUAUGAUUGCAAUAAGCACCUUUCAACUUACUUAAACCUGUAAUUAACUAUGAUACCCAAUGAGUGUUCCUUAAUGCCUCUGUCAAACCUUUAUAAAUUCUACAUGAACUCAUACAUUUUCUCCAAAAUAUUAAUAAAUUGGUGUCAGUAUACUUAAAACUGUUUUCAUGUAUGAACAAAUACAGUUCUUGUUGACUUAUAAAGCAGUCUGCUUAAUGAUAUUUUAAUCUUUAAAAGUUAUAUUAACAAAAUUGUCUUAAACUAACUUCAUGAUGGAGGCUCUUUCUUGCUUUUGGCAGAAGAAUUUUUGAUUUUAUUAUUCCAGCAUCUACACUGCUCUCCUUCAGACACGAAUCUUCCUUUAUUUGCCAC